rnacentral:lncRNA from 1 species
AUAGAAUCAAAAGUAGUGAAAAGUAACACAUUACACAAAAGUUGAAAACUGAGCCAAGAAGAAUGGAUACUGUUUCAAUGGAACCAACGCCAGCUUAUAAAGCACCCUAUUUCCGACACCGAAUACACCAACAGCCGCCGCAGCAACCACCACCUUCACCGUCUGAUUCUCACUUUUCCGACAAUUAUCCUCCACAAUCCUCUUCUUCUCAUCCUCCUCACUGACAUCCGAUCUCUCCCUUGCGCCACUCGCUUCUACCACCGGAAUCCACGUACGUCGCCGUAGCUGUAAAACGGAGAUUCCCUGGCGUUGAGGUGAAUAGCCGUAGUGGAUUCCGGCGGUGGAGUUUGUUGGUUGGAGUAGGCGGACUUGACCGUAGAGGGAGACGGUGCCGGCGGUAGGUGACCGCCGGCAGAAUGACGUCAUAGGGUGGUGAAGAGUGCGGAAAUUUACAAUUUGUAUGUUUAGAGAGAUUUGGGUGAUGAUAGUUGAGUUGAGUGUGUCUCACAUGGUGAAAGCGAAGACACUUAAAUAAAAAUGGAAAAUAAAAAUGUUAUGUUCCAAAAUAAAAGAAUUUAAUAGUGUGAGUGAGUGUGUGACAACUUGACAAAAAGGUGGAUUCUGACUUUUUUUAUGGCAAAUAAAUUCCCAUUCAAAAACAC